UGAAAGGCGAAACGUAAUGUGAAUCGCAACUAACAGUGAAUCAUCGAAUCUUUGAACGCAGGCCGCACCUUUCGGUAUUACUUGUAAUACCGAAAGGUAUCUACGUAUGAGUGUCAGCCAAAUAUCCUUUUGGUUCAUGAGGGAAGUAUGAUAAAUGUGUUAUGCUCAACUCGUGAAUACACACGUGUCUUGCGACAUCACUUUGAAGCUCUGACCGUGUCUGGCCUCAUAUGUGGAAGAUUACCCGCUGGAUUUAA
rnacentral:misc_RNA from 1 species